GAUUGUAACCGCUCCGGUAUACUAGUGGUUAGAGCGUCCGCCUCGGGUGCGGAGGUCGCGGGUUCGAUCCCCAGUUGAGUCA